rnacentral:tRNA from 1 species
GUGCCCGAAUUGCAGUGAAUGUGAGGAAAGAAAAUUCGUGAAAUCAAAGGCAUAUCUGGUAAGUUCAUGUUUUUAAUAGACUAUCGAAAACUCAAAGGGCUGGGCUCAUAACCUGAAGGUCACAGGUUCAAAUCCUGUCCCCGCAACCA